GUGCUCAUUUUGGCAACACCUAUACUAAAAUUAGAGAUUAGAAUGGCCCCUGGGCAAGGAUGAAACACAAAUUCAAGAAGCAUUCCAUAUUUUU
rnacentral:snRNA from 1 species